rnacentral:lncRNA from 1 species
ACUCGGGUUCUCUUGAGCGCUGUAGGAAUCAUCGUGAAGGUCUGCAGCUUCACUCCUGAGCCAGCGAGACCACGAACCCACCAGAAGGAAGAAACUCCGGACACAUCUGAACAUCAGAAGGCCGCAGGCCUCCGCGGAGCUGGCAGCCAGGAACCUCCAGAGGCUCCCAACCUAGCCCGUCCUGCAAGAUGAAGCUGCUUCUUGGGAAUCUUUUAGCUCAGGAUGCUGUGUUCCAUAUUCACGACGGCAUUUCCAUGCUCGUGAGGGCAACCAGUAGAACUGUUCUCUGUGCCGGACGAGCACCAAUGGCUCCGCUCCUCCUUGCUGCCUCCCUGAGUCGCUCUGUCCCUGGGACUGCUAAGGGCACGGGGCCUGUAGUGACGGUUCCGGCCGCCAGGGAAGAUGCUGGCCUUCCUGGUCUGCCUGGGAUUAAUGAACUUGGCCACUCUUGGGACUCCUCCCCUUGCUAGCCUGCAGGUUCACCUCUCCCAAGAGUCCAGGGUCUGUAUCGCCCCUUUCCUUCUCCCCUUAACUGAUUUAUCUUGCUUUGGGAUAAUACCACCCCCUCCCUCCCCACGACCAGACAAGCCAUGUGUGCCCCGCCCUCUCCUAAGCAAUUUACAGGAAUGAACUCCUGACUCUCCAAACAACUGUAUGGGACAGGCACCCCCCCAUCUUCCAGAGAACAGCAUGCAGGCUCAGAGAGGUGAAGUGACUUGCCCAUGGUCACACUGCUGGGGAGGUGGAGAAGCCAGGAUGUAGGCUGGCUUAACUGUGCUGCUAUUCUGCCUCAUGGCAUUUAGUUUGAAGAGAAGGGGCUUCAGGACAAUACUAACCUAGGUGCACAGGUUGUCCUUCCCGUUGCUAAGGAGCCCUAGGCAAGUCAGUUAAUCUCAGAGUCUGUUUCAUCGGCAAAAUGGGCCUGAAUUUCUUCCUGAUUCACUGGGUAGUUUGUACAGAUGAAAUGUGAUCACAGCUGCCAAUAAACCUGGUCCCACAGUGACGUGGACAGCAGCCUCCUGCAGCACCACUGCUCCGCCCGGGCUAUGAGAAGAUGGGCACUGGCAGGGAGGGUGGCAGGCAGUCCCAACAGCUGGGGCUCCAGGCUGAUAGCAGUGGCUGAGAGGGAGUCAUCCCAGAUCUCAGGCUAUCCCACCCAUCUCAUCCCAGAGGGCACCAUAUGUCUCUCCACCACAUAGUCACCUGUCUCCCUGACUGUGUUCCACUGUCACUAGAACAAGAGGAUCUGGGCCUGCCAAGCUCCAAAGACAGCUCAUCGUGAGGAGGAAAAGUGACUUUACAAAAGCAAUGUGUGGUGGCUGUUAAACUGCUGCAUCUUCUAUCCGCCUUCACACCAUUCUCACGCACAUACACAUGCGCACACACAUGCCUACAUGCACACACAUAGGCAUGGGCGCACACACAGGCAUGCGCACACAUGCGUACAUGCACGCACACAGGCACGCACACACACAGGCAUGCAUACACACAUGCGCGCACACACACAUGCGCGCACACACACACACUUGCUGCAGGGGAUCCCACCACCAAAGUCCAUCCUCCACCCGCCUCAAGGGAGCCAAAGUCUGUUCAGAAAACAAACUCCAACACGUCUAAAAGAAAAUAACAAAAAAACCAAACUUUACUUGCAUUUAGCCAUUAAUAAAUAAUUUACAGUAUGUACACGCGGUGACACUCC